CCUCUGUUCUCCCCCAUCUCGGAUUCCACCAAAGGGUGCUGACUACUUCCUGGAGGUGGGGGGACGGGUAUCUUCCUUAACUUCUCAGGCAGCCCUUCUUUAACUUCUUGACAGCCCGAGCUGUCCCAGAGGCCAGUCCUCACCAGGCUCAGUCCUUCACAGCCGGCCUCCUGGGAUGACAUGGCUCAAGACUUGUAGAUCCUCCCCAUCCUGGGGCCUCCACUGGGCAACACCUGGAAUGGUCAUCACCGGGGACGGGCCCUGUGUACCCCCUUCCUGGUCUACUUCUCUGUGACCUAAUGCUUUCAUCCUGCCAAGACUUGCCAGGCUGGCAGAUGCCAUCCCUGCGCCACUGCCACUUCCCAACCUGCGACACCCAGGACGGAGCCAGGGGCAGGUCUAGCCCAGGACCUCGCCACCCUCGACACGGCCUUUCUCCCACCGUCCAGGAUUCAGUCUUUGUUUACUGGGCCGAGGUGCUCUGUGGCCGGGGACAGCGUUGCCAGAACAUGGGGGCCCCUGCUUCCCAGUGCCCCACAACAGAUGGCCACACGGCAGCUCCUCCAGUGUUCCCGUGACUUGUGAUUUAGUGAUCACGGGAGCCAAGUGACAGCUGAGAGUCCUCAUCCCUUCUCCAUGUCCUCAGAAGGGUCCUGCAGUCCAGCUGGGCAGGAAACCAGCAUCCUCGGGUCCUGCCUGCUGCUCCUGACUGUCUUCCUGCCGCUUCCUUCCUCCUGCUCCCCCUCUCCUCUGGCGGGAGGCAGCUUCCACAUGGAGACCUUGGGGUCGCUCUUGGUCUGCAGGAACUUAGGGUCUCUGUUUCCUUAUUGCUCAUUUGGAUUCCUCUUCUCCCCUCUCAAAUGCCUGCUUUCUCUGCUUAUCUUCAUUCAUAGCCUGUGAACUUCGCCUAGUCAGCUGUAAGCAUUCAUGUGUUGGGUUUGGAUGGGAGUGGGAGAUGGGGGGACCCCGGGGCCUGAGUCCACCCUUGGCCACUUCCCAAUGGUGUGGCCUUGGCUGGGAGGUACUCUCAGCCUUGGUUUUCUCCACUGUCAGCUGGGGGCAACGGCAGAAGCUUUUGGUUGUGUGGAUUCAAUGAAACGUUCAGGAAAGCAUCCAACACCUCUCUUAAAGGAUGGCAGUGAUACAGAUCAGUUUUAUUGUCAAAAUGCUCAUCAUAAACCCUCCAAGCUGACCGAGCAAUCCCACACUGCCCCGUUUGGC
ensembl:lncRNA